UAAGAAAGUAUGAAAAUAAAAAAGUUAAAGGAGACAAUUUACACAUUACUGAAUGAAGAUGAGCUCUCAGGGUUAAAUGGAUAACUUAAUUUCUAUUAUUGUGUAUAAUUAAAUUUGCCAGUAUCUUGGAAAAUGUGGCAAAGGACUGUCUACAUGUCACAGCUAUUUCGAAGGAGGGAGAAGACUGCAAUCAAGUAAGUUUAAAAAACAUGGUUCAACUAAGUGACCUUGGUUUCCUCCAAACACCUUUCAGACUCUUGCAUAAACUAAUAUAACUGAGGUCUCCAAGAAGGCACACAGGAAGCAGAAUCCCCAUGCUCCUGCCACGGAGCUCUUUUAUAAUCUUUCACAGGUGUGGCAAGGGGAAACGCUGCUCUCCAGCACGCAGGCUUGGGGGCAGGAGUGUGCAGCCCAUGCUGUCCACCUGCUGUCUGGGGCACAGGGUGUGGUCAGGGCGUGGGCUCACAGCCUCACUGUCUCAGCAUGUGACCACAACUGAGGAGGGUGGCGAUCAGCUGCUCUCGGCCUUCACAAAGAACACAGCUGAAAAAAAAACAGGCUCAAGAAAAUCUCCUGAGACAGAAAACCUCAAAGGCUUGAACAGACUACGAAGGACAGCCUGGCUGUCACUGUGGGCACCAGUCUCGGAGAAGGCUUGGUGGAGUCCAGUGUAGUCAGAAGACACAUGAGGACCUACAGGAGAUGGCCAGCAAAAGCAGAGGGAAACUAGAUACUCAACAGUAGCACCAGUCCAAGAAGGAAGGGACUACAUUGGAUGAAUUUUAAAAAAUGCAGAUUAUGAGAGGCACAUGGUUACAGGACAUCCUAGAAAGAUGAAGAGAAAAUAUGGUCCUGAUGUGCCAACACGCUGAAGGGCUGCUUGUGAACGAGACAUCUGAACAUCUGUGCCCAAAGUGAUUCCUUCUUCAAACUGGAAUAAGAAUUCUUCUCUCUUGCUGCACUAUGAAGAGUAACAGGGCUCAGAGAAUGGCAAUGUGUGAAAAUAAGUAUUUUGAAGAAAGAGAUUCAGGUUUCUGUCCACAGUUCCUGAGUACUUAGCUAUGUGCCCUGGUGGAAGAACAGACUUGCUUCACCAAAGUUGGCUUAAAGUUUUGGUCAUACAGACGUUUUUACUGUAUGCUUAGCAAACUCCACAAGGUGCUUUAAGUAAGACAACCUCUUCACUGGCACAAAGUCCAUUUUGUAAUUGGAAAAUACUGUUAAGUAGGAGAGUCUGGAUCAGAACGUGCACUGCCAACCUUAUACCUGUUCAUGCUGAGACGCUAUCUUCGCUGUGGCCUGCCUGGGGGCCCAGCAGCUGUGAAGUUUCCACCCUGUACAGAUGGGUCGUCAAGUCUAUAUUGAACAAGGGGUCUGAUUCUCUUCAUAAAUAUUUAAAACAGUACUGUUUGAUUGAGAGUAGUUUUAAAAUAGCUUUGAUGUCAGAACAGAAUCUGACCAUGGUUUUACCACUAAGUAUGAUUUUGGGCAUCCAUCUUCACCUCUCUAACCUGAAUUUUUUCUAGGUGUAAAAUGGGGCUAACUUCCAUGUAAAAUUGGAGUUUUAUAUUUUUACAGUACCCAGCACAGUGCUCUGAACACAGUGGGUGCUCAAUAAAUGAGAACGCGUACUGUUGUGUUACUUUUCAAAUUUGUAGCAUUAAAAAACAGAUGUAUGCUCUUUAUUAAAAACACACUUUAUGUAAAUUCUCUCACAAAUCAAAUAUUAAGAAAUGGCUUAAUUAUAAAAGGAUUCUUAAGUAAAAAUUAAUAAUACACUUAAUUACAUAACAGGCAAUCAAAACUACGUGUUAAUUAAUUGUAGAGGGUUCUGCUGAAUAUAAUCAUGAGUUUGGCACAUCCUUAAGGAUAUGAAAAAUGAGGAAAGAGAAAAAUAAAAAGUCAAAGAUGUAGUGGCCCAGCUGAAUGAAAAUUAUCCUGGAAAGAAGUCAACAUGAAUCAACAGAAAAUAUAAUUUGGUUUGCAAAAAUUCAACUUACGUAUAACUCUGAGAAACAUUUUUAUCACUUAAAUAUAUUAAAAUCCAUAUUACCUAAAGAUAACUUUCUUCUAUUAAAAAAAAAAACUGGCUCACAUCAUUUUAGAAAUAGCAUAUUCUGAUUUGCCUUUCUUAAAAGAAUAUUUCUAGCAGAAGAAUAUAUUUUGACUUUAUCCAUUAUGCCUGGAGUACGUCCCUCUGGGCCCU